rnacentral:misc_RNA from 1 species
AAAAAAAGGAGUACCAAAAAGGCAAUUUGGUUGAGAGAUUGAGGAAUCAGAAAAGAACAUUGUGGUAACGUGGUGGAUAACUUAGUAGCAAUGUCUAGCUGACAAAUUCUAGAAGAAAUGAUUCUCACACCUCGUUUCCAAUAUGAUUUCGACUAUAUAAAUGUAUUGCUUCAAUUAGCUGUUAAUUUCUUAUAAAGUAGCUAGAUUCAGCAAAUAUUCUUGAAGAAACCAUACGUCAACCUAAUACCAGUCAUAAGAAGCAUGAAGGUGAACUUGUUACUGAGUCAUUACCACAUCACUGGAGAAUGGAGGGAACAGACAUUCCUACAGGACACUCUAAAAAGAUGAAAGU